GGGCUUUAAUUUCAUAAAGAUAGCACCUAUAUAAGCUUUGCUGGCUUGCCAGCUAUGGUGAUAAAUUGGCGUUGAAAUAAACCAUUCGGACCCGGGGGCGGUACCCGGCGCCUCCACCACCAACGGUUCGCAUCGUGUUCAAAGCACGGGAACUUUUGAUGAUGGGGGCGAAAUAGGAUCGACGAGGGCGUAAAGAGCGUACUUUCACUCGGCAUGAUACCGCCGUUAUCGGGUCAUUUGUAUAGUUGCAAACGACAACUACGCGGAAGCACGUCUCGCUGCUUAAUGCGGUGCGACAGCUUCACAUUAACUCCUAACGGUUCGCACUGUUAGGCGGGGUUCGCAGGCACCUGGCAACAGAAGCCUGCACU
rnacentral:tmRNA from 1 species